rnacentral:rRNA from 1 species
AUUCCAGCUCCAAUAGCGUAUAUUAAAGUUGUUGCAGUUAAAAAGCUCGUAGUUGGACUUCUGAUGUGGGACUGCGCCCCGGUAUUUUGCCGUUGGGUGCGGGCUCGCGUCUUCCUCUCGUAGUUGGAUGGUGCACUUAACUGGGUGCCUUCUGAAUAUGGGACCUUUACUUUGAAAAAAUUAGAGUGUUCAAAGCAGGCAAUCGCUUGAAUACAUUAGCAUGGAAUAAUAGAAUAGGACUUUGGUUCUAUUUUGUUGGUUUCUAGGACCGGAGUAAUGAUUAAUAGGGACAAUUGGGGGGAUUCGUAUUAUGGCGUCAGAGGUGGAAUUCUUGGAUUGCCAUACGACGAACCACUGCGAAAGCAUUUGCCAGGGAUGUUUUCAUCA